GAUGAAGCCGCUUCGGUGGUGGAUUAGUGGCGAACGGGUGAGUAACACGUGGGCAAUCUGCCCUUCACUCUGGGACAAGCCCUGGAAACGGGGUCUAAUACCGGAUAAUACUCCUGCCUGCAUGGGUGGGGGUUGAAAGCUCCGGCGGUGAAGGAUGAGCCCGCGGCCUAUCAGCUUGUUGGUGGGGUAAUGGCCUACCAAGGCGACGACGGGUAGCCGGCCUGAGAGGGCGACCGGCCACACUGGGACUGAGACACGGCCCAGACUCCUACGGGAGGCAGCAGUGGGGAAUAUUGCACAAUGGGCGAAAGCCUGAUGCAGCGACGCCGCGUGAGGGAUGACGGCCUUCGGGUUGUAAACCUCUUUCAGCAGGGAAGAAGCGCAAGUGACGGUACCUGCAGAAGAAGCGCCGGCUAACUACGUGCCAGCAGCCGCGGUAAUACGUAGGGCGCAAGCGUUGUCCGGAAUUAUUGGGCGUAAAGAGCUCGUAGGCGGCUUGUCACGUCGGAUGUGAAAGCCCGGGGCUUAACCCCGGGUCUGCAUUCGAUACGGGCUAGCUAGAGUGUGGUAGGGGAGAUCGGAAUUCCUGGUGUAGCGGUGAAAUGCGCAGAUAUCAGGAGGAACACCGGUGGCGAAGGCGGAUCUCUGGGCCAUUACUGACGCUGAGGAGCGAAAGCGUGGGGAGCGAACAGGAUUAGAUACCCUGGUAGUCCACGCCGUAAACGUUGGGAACUAGGUGUUGGCGACAUUCCACGUCGUCGGUGCCGCAGCUAA
rnacentral:rRNA from 1 species